UACGUAGGGUGCAAGCGUUAAUCGGAAUUACUGGGCGUAAAGCGUGCGCAGGCGGUUUUGUAAGUCUGAUGUGAAAGCCCCGGGCUCAACCUGGGAAUUGCAUUGGAGACUGCAAGGCUUGAAUCUGGCAGAGGGGGGUAGAAUUCCACGCGUAGCAGUGAAAUGCGUAGAGAUGUGGAGGAACACCGAUGGCGAAGGCAGCCCCCUGGGUCAAGAUUGACGCUCAUGCACGAAAGCGUGGGGAGCAAACAGGAUUAGAAACCCCCGUAGUCC
rnacentral:rRNA from 1 species